rnacentral:lncRNA from 10 species
CGGCCCCGCCCAGGAAGCUCCGCCACUGGCAGCUGGGUACCGAUUCAUCACCGACGUGUUUAAAGUAUCCGUGUGUGUGCCUCCAAAAACCGUUUGUGGAGACAGCAGAGUGCCCGAGGCAGGAAACCGCUCCGGCCUGGAGGCGCCCCUGCCCGGACUCGUGGACUGCAGCGCUGUCCCGCUCGGAAGCCGAUCCUGGGAGUCCGAGCGGGGCCGCGGGGCCUGCGUGGCAGCCGAGUCGAGGGCUUCGGGCCGCGGGGCUGUGGAGCGCCCCUUGGCGCUGGGCCGCCGGCAGCCGUGAGCGCAUCACUGCAUUUCCCUGGAGGAAUUCCUCAUCUGUUGAAUGAGGGAGUUGAGGCGGACACGCUGGGAAAUGGCUUCGAGCUCACACACUGAUUUUCCCCUACAAACGCUGGGUUUCCUUUCUCAUUCGUGGACUUUUUUCCCUGGAUCCUUCUUACUGCUCCUACCCUGUGGCCGCACGUCUGGCAGAUGCGCGGCGGGCGCUGCCUGAACCCCCGAAUCCUCACAAGCCUCUGUGCAGCGGCCACGGCCCUCAGCUAGCGGCGGGGAGACUGAAGCCGCAGGGUCAGGGUUAGUUGCCACAUGUUUUAAAUUCCUAUCCAAACUUCCAUUAUAAUUGUUUUUAUUUAUUUAUUCAUCUAUUUUUUGAGACAGGGUCCCGCUCUGUCGCCCAGGCUGGAGUGCAGUGGAGCGAUCACGGUUCACUGCAGCCUCCCCACCUCCGACUCCAGCGAUCCUCUCGCCUCAGCCUCCCGAGUAGCUGGGACCACAGGUGCAUGCCACCAUGCCCGGCUAAUUGUUAAUAUUUUUUUUGGUAGAGAUGGGGCCUCCCUCUGUUGCCUAGGCUGGCCUUGAACUCCUGGGCUCAAGCGAUCUUCCAGCUUCGGCCUCCCAAAGUGCUGGCAUUACAGGCGUGAGUCACCCCGCCUGGCAAGAAUUGUUGUUUUGAAACUAACUGAGGUUCUCCCAUCAAUGGAUUUAAAUUGUUACUUUUUAAUGAUUUUUUUUUAAGUAGCCAAAUACUAAAUGUAUGUAAUUUGAAUGUGGAGAGAAGAUAAUGCAUGAUUCAAAUUAUGUGGCUGAUCAUGGGUGAUACACUGGGAUAUAGUUGUAAAAUAAGUAGUUCUCCUAGGGAAAAUAUUAAAGUACAACUGUGUUGGGUUUAAUAUCAGAAAAAUGUAAUUAAAAACAUUUCCUGCCAAUAAUUUCCAAUCUGAUACUUAAACAAAACAAAACAAUAAAAGUUUCCCAUCUCUUUCGGGCCUUUUAAAUUUCUACCAAAAGUAAGUGAUGCUGGCUGAUUCCCCUGCUAUAGCAAGUUGUGAAUAAAUAGCCUUUGCUGGUUUCCACAGUUUUCCUGGUGAUCCCAUGGUAAGUCUGUACUGCUUGUCCCUGAGGUCCCCAGGCUUCC